UACGUAGGGUGCGAGCGUUGUCCGGAAUUAUUGGGCGUAAAGAGCUUGUAGGCUGUCUGUCGCGUCUGCUGUGAAAAUCCGGGGCUCAACCCCGGACUUGCAGUGGGUACGGGCAGACUAGAGUGUGGUAGGGGAGACUGGAAUUCCUGGUGUAGCGGUGAAAUGCGCAGAUAUCAGGAGGAACACCGAUGGCGAAGGCAGGUCUCUGGGCCACUACUGACGCUGAGAAGCGAAAGCAUGGGGAGCGAACAGG
rnacentral:rRNA from 1 species